CAACAACAACUCAGGCAGGAAAGAUCUCACCAACAGGGGAAAAGAGAAGAAAUAAAACAAGUCUGCCUCUGGUAUCUGUGCACAGCAAACAGCAAUGGUCUGGAACAGAACCCAACGUGCGAAGAGCCCGUGGUCACUAGUUUUGUCUGGAUUUGUGUGGAACUCAGUGUUUAUGGAGCUGGAUUCAUGGUUGUAACACACUUGGGGCUUUUCUGCCGAGGAUGUCCAUGUUGACUGAUUUGAUCAGUGACGCCAUGAUUAUUAUCUUCGUGAACUGAGGCACAUAUAUGAAAAUCAACAGGCCGCAUACCACAUGCCAAAGGCGUGAGAAAACUUGCAUUCUUUGAUAACCCGUGGUAAACAGAGUUCAGAGAACUACUCUGGCGGUCCAAUGGAUCAAAAUAUAACAAUCUAUUCCUAGGUAUAGCUGGUGAAUGGACACUUGGAGAAUGGUAUUUUUUAUCUUGUAUUUUACCUAUAUUUAAGUGGAGACAUUCUCCUGCCAACAUAUUUCAGGUCCACUGUUAUACCCCACUGAGACCAUGAGACUGAGUUUGUGUACCAACUUUGGACCAGUUACAGUUACAGGAGCACUUUAUUGUUAUACCUGCUGAAUAUUCCAGUAUAACGUGGUUUCUCCUGCCACGGAAGUCAUGCUUUUGCUGUUUGUUCUGGGGGCUACAUGAGAAUAAAAAGUGGUUUGGUAGAAGUAUGCACUCUGAAUGUCUUGGUGGUUGAUAGUGAACAAUUAAAUAAAGCUGCAUUUUUUUUUCAACAUUUUAUGUUUAGGUCAACUCUAACUCUGAAAAACACAAUCGCACAUAGUGGUGACAAAGAAAAGCCAAUAUCAAGUUGUUGUUUUAUUCGAUAAAAGUCUUCAGGUACAAAUAUGCAUGUGAGGAGUACAAAUUAAAACAUGAAGCUCUU